rnacentral:rRNA from 1 species
UACGGAAGGCAGCAGUGGGGAAUAUUGCACAAUGGACGCAAGCCUGAUGCAGCCAUGCCGCGUGUAUGAAGAAGGCCUUCGGGUUGUAAAGUACUUUUCAGCGGGGAGGAAGGCGGUGGAGUUAAUAGCUUCACCGAUUGACGUUACCCGCAGAAGAAGCACCGGCUAACUCCGUGCCAGCAGCCGCGGUAAUACGGAGGGUGCAAGCGUUAAUCGGAAUUACUGGGCGUAAAGCGCACGCAGGCGGUCUGUCAAGUCGGAUGUGAAAUCCCCGGGCUUAACCUGGGAACUGCAUUCGAAACUGGCAGGCUAGAGUCUGUAGAGGGGGUAGAAUUCCAGGUGUAGCGGUGAAAUGCGUAGAGAUCUGGAGGAAUACCGGUGGCGAAGGCGGCCCCUGGGACAAAGCUGACGCUCAGGUGCGAAAGCGUGGGGAGCAAACAGGAUUAGGAUACC